rnacentral:rRNA from 1 species
GCCGGCGACCGGCGCACGGGUGAGUAACGCGUAUGCAACCUGCCCUUCACAGGGGGAUAACCGGGAGAAUUCCGACUAAUACCGCAUACGUCCUCCGGGGGCAUCCCCUGGGGAUGAAAGAUUUAUCGGUGAAGGAUGGGCAUGCGUGAUAUUAGGUAGUUGGCGGGGCAACGGCCCACCAAGCCCACGAUAUCUAGGGGUUCUGAGAGGAAGGUCCCCCACAUUGGUACUGAGACACGGACCAAACUCCUACGGGAGGCAGCAGUGAGGAAUAUUGGUCAAUGGACGAGAGUCUGAACCAGCCAAGUCGCGUGAAGGAAGACGGAUCUAUGGUUUGUAAACUUCUUUAGUGCGGGAACAAAGCGGCGUCGUGACGCCGGAUGAGUGUACCGCAAGAAUAAGCAUCGGCUAACUCCGUGCCAGCAGCCGCGGUAAUACGGAGGAUGCGAGCGUUAUCCGGAUUUAUUGGGUUUAAAGGGAGCGCAGGCUGCGAGGCAAGUCAGCGGUCAAAUGUCGGGGCUCAACCCCGGCCUGCCGUUGAAACUGUCCUGCUAGAGUUCGAGUGAGGUAUGCGGAAUGCGUUGUGUAGCGGUGAAAUGCAUAGAUAUGACGCAGAACUCCGAUUGCGAAGGCAGCAU